GGGCGCGUAGCUCAAUCGGCAGAGCGUCGCGUUUACACCGCGAAGGUACCGGGUUCGAAACCUGGCGCGCCCA
rnacentral:tRNA from 2 species